AACAACAACAUGGAGCUCAAGAUUCUCCUGAACGAUGAAGUUUUUGUGGAUUUCUUCAAUACAUUUCUAAGUCUUCCAGUGUUUGGGCAAACCCCUCUCUACAUGCUCAAAGAAAACAAGUGGUUAAUGUGGCCGAAUGUGCCCUUUGCUCAGGUGAACACUGGAGCAUUUCUGAAAUGGUUAGACACACAUCGGAUGGUUUGCUUCAAACAAACGGAGCUCUA